rnacentral:rRNA from 1 species
CCCUUAGAUGUUCUGGGCCGCACGCGCGCUACACUGACGAAGGCAACGAGCUUUCCUUUACCGAAAGGUACGGGUAAUCUUUUGAAACUUCGUCGUGCUGGGGAUAGAUCCUUGCAAUUAUUGAUCUUAAACGAGGAAUUCCUAGUAAGCGCAAGUCAUCAACUUGCGUUGAUUACGUCCCUGCCCUUUGUACACACCGCCCGUCGCUACUACCGAUUGAAUGGUUUAGUGAGGCCUUCGGAUCCGCAACUCGUUUUGUGGAGAAGUUGGACAAACUCAGUCAUUUAGAGGAAGUAAAANUCGUAACA